GCCUACGGGCCAUCCCACCCUGGUAACGCCCGAUCUCGUCUGAUCUCGGGAAGCUAAGCAGGGUCGGGCCUGGUUAGUACUUGGAUGGGAGACCUCCUGGAAUACCGGGUGCUGUAGGCU
rnacentral:rRNA from 7 species